AUGUCGUCCGAAACCGCCGUCUCGCCGCAGCCGCUGUCCUCCAGCCCACCAACCGCCGCCGUCUCCGCCCAUUCCGGCCCCGCUCCCCCGGCCGACGAGCCGGAAGCUCCAGCCCCUCCCCAACCCCCGCCGCACCAUGCCUCGCCGUUGCCAGCCCCCUCCGUGUCCGACGAGACGGACGCCCCGACCCGUCCCCAACCCCUGCCGCGCCACCCCAUCGCGUCCUCCUCCUCCCCAUCCACCGCGGCCGGCGAGACGCAGGGCCCAGUACACCCCCCGCCCCAACCCCAGAUGCACCAACCGGCGUCGCCGUCCCCUUCCUCGGCGGAGCCGCAAACCCCUGUCCAGCCCCAACCGAACCAUUCGUCGCCGCCUCUCUCGGGGGACGACGACGAUGAAGACGUGGUCAUCACCGGCGCGUUAUCUGGGGCGGGCGGCGCGGCUUCGUCCGCGGCCGAUGAGCGAGUGAAGGGGCCGUGGUCGCCCGAGGAGGACGCGGUGCUGACCAAUCUGGUGAUGAGGGACGGGGCGCGGAACUGGACGAUGAUUGCGCGCGGGAUCCCCGGGCGCUCCGGCAAGUCCUGCCGCCUCCGCUGGUGCAACCAGCUCGAUCCUCAACUCAAGCGCAAGCCAUUCACUGAGGAGGAGGACCAGAUGAUAAUAUCUGCUCAUGCAAUUCAUGGGAACAAGUGGGCAUCUAUCGCGAAACUAUUGGUUGGGAGAACCGACAAUGCAAUCAAGAACCACUGGAAUUCUACUCUGAGGCGUCGGUACUGCACCGGUACCCGAUGCACACGAAGUGCUUCUGCGGAGCAACCUAUGAGAGAGAUGUCCAGGGCAGUUUCAGAAGAACGGUGGCCAUUGUCCGGUCCUAGUUCCUUCAGUGUUAUGGAAGUAAAGGAAGCUCCUGUGCAAACAGUAUCUGAAAGCUCAGCUGGGGCAUUGCAAAUCAGAGAUAUUAACAAUUGUAGCACUGAAGCUGUUGAUCGAUCCUACCCGGUGCGACCAGUGGCUACGGUUGGUGCUUUCAGACCAUACAGUCUAGGACCUGUUCAACAGAUGCAAAUGGAAAUGUCGAGCUCUACCAAGUUUGUUCCAACCAUUCAGGCUUUGACGCCUGAAAUUGCGGUCUCCAAGUUUGCUGAUACUACAUGCUUUGCUGCUGAUGUGCCAAACAAAUGUGGCCAUGGUUGCUGCAGCGCUGAAGAGCAACCUCGUAACAACUCAUUGUUGGGACCUGAGUUUAAAGAGUUUAUAGACCAUCCUCCAAUUUUGAGCAGUAGUUUUGCUUCGUUGGUAUCUGAAAUCAGCAGCAUUGCCUGGAUGAACGGUGGUCUGCAAAGCAGUAACUCUGGCAACUUAGUGCAGUCUAAUCCUCCAGCGCCUGACAAAUUAGGAAUCGUGUGA
rnacentral:rRNA from 1 species